rnacentral:rRNA from 1 species
UACGAAGGGGGCUAGCGUUGUUCGGAUUUACUGGGCGUAAAGCGCACGUAGGCGGGUCGUUAAGUCAGGGGUGAAAUCCCGGAGCUCAACUCCGGAAAUGCCUUUGAUACUGGCGACCUUGAGGCUGGAAGAGGUUAGUGGAAUUCCCAGUGUAGAGGUGAAAUUCGUAGAUAUUGGGAAGAACACCAGUGGCGAAGGCGGCUAACUGGUCCAGAUCUGACGCUGAGGUGCGAAAGCGUGGGGAGCAAACAGG